rnacentral:rRNA from 1 species
AGCUCCUCGAGUGGUUGGGACGAUUAUUGGGUCUAAAGCGUCCGUAGCCGGCCGGAAAAGUUUUCCGUUAAAUCCAACGAUCCAAUCGUUGGGCUGCGGGGAAUACUCUUCGGCUUGGGGGCGAGGGAGGUCGGCGGUAGUCUCGGGGUAGGGGCGAAAUCCUAUAAUCCCGAGAGGACCACCAGUGGCGAAGGCGGCCGACUAAAGCGCGCCCGACGGUGAGGGACGAAAGCUGGGGGAGCGAACG